rnacentral:lncRNA from 1 species
CUUACUCCACUAAAUAGCCUAUAGUUUGUUCAGCUUUAUAGUAACAUAAUAAACACGAUUAAAAUAAAAACAACUAAUGUAGGAAGAAACUUAUUCAACAAGAAAUAUAGUUAUUGUUAAGAUACGGAUACACUGACUGAAGGCACAAUCUUAUCAUCUCUGCUUUUAAUAAGAAAAAACAGAGAAGGUGGUCUAAAUAAACCACACCCACAUUGAAGCUUCACAAUAGGCUACUGCUUACAGUACAUACACCAUACAUUUACAUUUUAACUUCAGUUUACAAAGACAGUUAGUAAACCAUUCCAACAUGGAGAGAUGCUUUCUACUGAUUCUCAUAACAGCACCAGGUGUUUUAUCUGACAGCAUUCAACCAAAGGAAACUAAUAUUUACAGAAAAGAAGAAGAGCGUGUAACGCUGAGUUGCUUGUAUGAAACGAGCAGUGAUUAUGUCUAUCUCUACUGGUACAGACAGUAUCCUAACAGAGAACCAGAUUUUAUACUGUAUAAAGGUGCUCGAUCACAGAGCCAAUAUGGGUAUAUACCAGACACUCGGUUUCAGUCGAUUACAUCCCAAACAUCCACUGAACUCACUAUUGACAGUGUAACUCUGUCAGAUUCAGCUCUCUAUUAUUGUGCUCUAAGAGUAGGAGCCCAGUGAUACAAAAUGCCUGAGAAGCUUUACAAAAACUCACAUGUAGUUUUUGGCUUUAAAAAAAUGGAAUCAAAUUAAAAUUAAACCACAUUCAUAUCUUGUGCAAAACCACAAACACAAUAUUUUAACACCUGUUGGAUUAAAAGAGCUGUGCUUAGGAGCAAACUGUAAAAGAAGAUUACAAUUUCAAUAAUUGCUGUUGUCAUUUCAUAAUAAACCCUCCCACAAAAGAGCCUCUGAAAAUGAAGUUUUCCAUGCUAAAAUCACUAUUUGCCAGAGUGUAAAUAAGGGUGUCUAACAAUUAAACUGUUUCAUAUUUGUAAAUGAAUAGUUUAAUCAAAAAUGAAAAUUUGCUUAAAAUGUACUCACCCUUAUGCUAUUCACGAUGAGUUUGUUUCUUCAUUGUAACAGAUUUGGUGAAAUUUAGCAUUACAUCAUUUGCUCAACAAUGGAUCUGCAGUGAAUGGGUGCCAUCAGAAUGAGAGUCUAAACAGCUGAUAAAAACAAUCCAAACAAAAGCAAUCCAUGUGAAUACAGUUUG